rnacentral:rRNA from 1 species
UACGUAGGGGGCAAGCGUUGUCCGGAAUCAUUGGGCGUAAGGAGCGUGUAGGCGGCCCGGUAAGUCCGCUGUGAAAGUCCAGGGCUCAACUGUUGAAAGCCGGUGGAUACUGUCGGGCUAGAGUACGGAAGAGGCAAGUGGAAUUCCUGGUGUAGCGGUGGAAUGCGCAGAUAUCAGGAGGAACACCUAUAGCGAAGGCAGCUUGCUGGGACGUUUACUGACGCUAAGGCGCGAAAAGCGUGGGGAGCGAACAGG